rnacentral:rRNA from 1 species
CAGCCGCCACGGUAAUGCGUAGGUGGCGAGCGUUGUCCGGAAUUAUUGGGCGUAAAGGGAGCGCAGGCGGACAUAUAAGUCCAUCUUAAAAGUGCGGGGCUCAACCCCGUGAGGGGAUGGAAACUGUAUGCCUUGAGUGCAGGAGAGGAAAGCGGAAUUCCCAGUGUAGCGGUGAAAUGCGUAGAUAUUGGGAGGAACACCAGUGGCGAAGGCGGCUUUCUGGACUGUAACUGACGCUGAGGCUCGAAAGCCAGGGGAGCAAAUGGGAUUAGAUACCCCCGUAGUCCCUGUCUCUUAUACA